rnacentral:rRNA from 1 species
GACGAACGCUGGCGGCGUGCUUAACACAUGCAAGUCGAACGAUGAAGCAAAGAAUCGAAGCUUCGGCAGAAAUUCAUUUCGGAUUAGUGGCAGACGGGUGAGUAACGCGUGAGCAACCUACCUCUUACAAAGGGAUAGCCUCGGGAAACCGGGAUUAAUACCAUAUAACAUUGUGACGAAGCAUUUCGAUGCAAUCAAAGCUACGGCGGUAAGAGAUGGGCUCGCGUCCCAUUAACCGGAUGGUGAGGUAACGGCUCACCAUAGUGACGAUGGGUAACCGGCCUGAGAGGGUGAACGGUCACACUGGAACUGAGACACGGUCCAGACUCCUACGGGAGGCAGCAGUGGGGAAUAUUGCACAAUGGAGGGAACUCUGAUGCAGCGACGCCGCGUGAGUGAUGAAGGAAUUCGUUUCGUAAAACUCUGUUCUAUGGGAAGAAAAGGACUGUACCAUAGGAGAAAGCUCCGGCUAAAUACGUG